AUGAAGACGGUACCAGUCCUCUUCCUCCUCCUGGUUCCACUGUUGACCAGCUGCAAAGAGCUCCUCACACCAGAUGACUGCAGUGACAUCCAUCAACAGAACAAGACCUCAUUCAGCGGUGUGUACACCAUCUAUCCUCCUGGGGAAAGGUCAGCGGUCCAGACUCUGCCUGCUCUGGACCCCUUCUCUUGCCUGACCCCCUGGUGCUGUGAGUUUGUUUGUCCCCGUCAUUCCCCCUGCUCACAGUACCAGACCUGUACCUGUAUCAUCACACCUGGUUUUGACAUUGGAUUUCAUUGGAUUAGACUGUAUUCUCAUGGCGCUUCUGUGAUAAUCUUGUUACACAUGAACCUUCUCCAUUGUCCUCCAAUUUGUCCAUGUGAUCUCCGUUGGUUGGCCAUCUUGGUCGUGACGUCACUUCUGGUUUCCACCCAGACCACCAUACUCACCCUACGUCAUCUAGUGACUGUUUAAUUCAUUGAUUUACUGUUGUU
rnacentral:lncRNA from 1 species